rnacentral:rRNA from 1 species
CAGUCGAACGCGUCUCCGUUAAUGAUUUUAGGUGCUUGCACUUGAAAGAUUUAACAUUGAGACGAGUGGCGAACUGGUGAGUAACACGUGGGUAACCUGCCCUUGAAGUAGGGGAUAACACUUGGAAACAGGUGCUAAUACCGUAUAACAACCAAAACCACCUGGUUUUGGUUUAAAAGACGGCUUCGGCUGUCACUUUAGGAUGGACCCGCGGCGUAUUAGCUUGUUGGUAAGGUAACGGCCUACCAAGGCGAUGAUACGUAGCCGACCUGAGAGGGUAAUCGGCCACAUUGGGACUGAGACACGGCCCAAACUCCUACGGGAGGCAGCAGUAGGGAAUCUUCCACAAUGGACGAAAGUCUGAUGGAGCAACGCCGCGUGAGUGAUGAAGGGUUUCGGCUCGUAAAACUCUGUUGUUGGAGAAGAACAGGUGUCAGAGUAGCUGUUGACAUCUUGACGGUAUCCAACCAGAAAGCCACGGCUAACUACGUGCCAGCAGCCGCGGUAAUACGUAGGUGGCAAGCGUUGUCCGGAUUUAUUGGGCGUAAAGCGAGCGCAGGCGGUUUUUUAGGUCUGAUGUGAAAGCCUUCGGCUUAACCGGAGAAGUGCAUCGGAAACCGGGAGACUUGAGUGCAGAAGAGGACAGUGGAACUCCAUGUGUAGCGGUGAAAUGCGUAGAUAUAUGGAAGAACACCAGUGGCGAAGGCGGCUGUCUGGUCUGUAACUGACGCUGAGGCUCGAAAGCAUGGGUAGCGAACAGGAUUAGAUACCCUGGUAGUCCAUGCCGUAAACGAUGAGUGCUAAGUGUUGGAGGGUUUCCGCCCUUCAGUGCUGCAGCUAACG